CUGCGGUACCAGGUACUCCUCGGCGUCCAUCAUGUCCCCCAGGUUCUCUCCUUCCUCCAGAAGCAUCCGGUAGAACUGGCUGUCCACCGGGCUGCAGGAACUCAUCUGCUCGUCGUUCUGGAGGAGCACAAAGUUCUGCAGGUCUGGGAUCUCCCUCGCCGCAAUGGUAUCGUACGGCUUGGAGCCGAACGUCAUCAGCUCCCAAACAGUCACCCCUGAAAACGACAGAGUUCGGUUUAUCAUCAGACAUCUGACGUCUCCACUGUGAACAACCCUUGGCCACAUAUAAGUAACGGGCCAGGCCGAAGUCCGUGAUCUUCACGUGGUUUGGGUUCUUCACCAGAACGUUGCGGGCGGCCAGAUCUCUGUGGACCAACCGAAUGUCCUCCAGAUAAUUCAUCCCCUACACCAACACAGAGAUCCAUCAGGCUGGAGCCGAAACAAAGGCAGAGGGAGGAAAAACUAGAGAGUCGUUAUCGAAAGUCGAGGAGGCAGCCGUACGGCAUGAGCUGAGUGACCAGCUGCACGGCGGACGUCAGGCAAAUCCCCAGCAGGCGACACACGUAAGGGCUGGUGACCGACGCCAUCACAAACGCCUCCUGGGAGCAAACAGACCGGAGAAGCUGCAAGAUUCUGACCCGGAAACACAUUUUCAUUUGGGUCACAUCAAGAUCAUGAAUGACCCCAAAGGAACGGCAGCGCCAGAAUAUAUCGGAUUCGCAUCUGAGCCUGGUUUGGAGACGCGCCGCUCGGCGUCAACGGCUCCACCAGCUGCACCGAGGAAACACGGCGCAGAUUAAACACAAUAUCAGUCUGAACUGCGCAGAGAAAAGAAAAAAGACCCAAGCAAA